UUUGGGGGCAGGUACUGUAGUCAGCAGUGCAACAUGGGUAAAUCACCAGUAUGAUGGGGGGCAGGUAGUGUAGUCAGCAGUGCAACAUAGGUAAAUCACCAGUAUGAUGGGGGGUAGGUACUGUAGUCUGCAGUGCAACAUGGGUAAAUCACCAGGACGAUGGGGGGCAGGUACUGUAGUCAGCAGUGCAACAUGGGUAAAUCACCAGUAUGAUGGGGGGCAGGUACUGUAGUCAGCAGUGCAACAUGGGUAAAUCACCAGUAUGAUGGGGGGCAGGUACUGUAGUCAGCAGUGCAACAUGGGUAAAUCACCAGGACGAUGGGGGGCAGGUACUGUAGUCAGCAGUGCAACAUGGGUAAAUCACCAGUAUGAUGGGGGGCAGGUACUGUAGUCAGCAGUGCAACAUGGGUAAAUCACCAGUAUGAUGGGGGGCAGGUAGUGUAGUCAGCAGUGCAACA